rnacentral:tRNA from 1 species
ACGAGUUGCCUAAAUCUGUUGGUGAGGGUGUGGUGAGCGUCGGAUGAACGCACCCGAGACGCUCUUUCUGAUUUUUGUUUUUGUGUUUUUCCUAAGUUUUUUGCUGAUUUUUCAGCGGCCUCCGGAGCCGUAGGUCAUAGGUUCGAAUCCUAUCGCGCGUACCA